GCGGUUACCACGGAGUGGUCAAUGACUGGGGUGAAGUCGUAACAAGGUAGCCCUAGGGGAACCUGGGGCUGGAUCACCUCCUUA
rnacentral:ncRNA from 1 species